rnacentral:rRNA from 1 species
UAGAUAUUUUCUUUAAAUUUAAAGAAUUUGGCGGUGGUUUAGUCUAGUCAGAGGAACCUGUUUUUUAAUCGAUAUGACACGUAGAUUUUUACUUAUUUUUGUUUUCAGUUUGUAUACCAUCAUUGGCAGAUAAUUUUAUAAAAGAUAAAAUUAUUAAAAUUAAUUGUAUUAAUAAAAUUAGAUCAAGGUGCAGCUUAUAAAUAAGUUAAAGUGGGUUACAAUAAAAUUUAUUUAAACGAAAUGAAGUUAGAAAUAUUUUCGGGAAGGAGGAUUUGAUUGUAAUAUAAAUUUAGUAAGUUUAGGAGAUAAUAGCUCUAAAUUGUGUACACAUCGCCCGUCACUCU